rnacentral:tRNA from 1 species
UUUGAAGAUAGCUUAUAUGAAAGCUCUUAACUGUUAAUUAAGAAGAAGUUUUAAAACUCUUUAAACCC